CAGCAGCCGCGGUAAUACGGAGGGGGCUAGCGUUGUUCGGAAUUACUGGGCGUAAAGCGCACGUAGGCGGCUUGGUAAGUUAGAGGUGAAAGCCCGGAGCUCAACUCCGGAAUUGCCUUUAAGACUGCCGAGCUAGUAGGUGAGAGAGGUAAGUGGAAUUCCGAGUGUAGAGGUGAAAUUCGUAGAUAUUGGGAAGAACACCGGUGGCGAAGGCGGCAACCUGGUCCAUUACUGACGCUGAGGCGCGAAAGCGUGGGGAGCAAACAGGAUUAGAUACCCCUGUAGUCCCUGUCUCUUAUAC
rnacentral:rRNA from 1 species